rnacentral:rRNA from 1 species
AUGUUCUCGUCGCAGUCACUCAGCCGCGUCAACAACAUCCGCACGGCGCUGAUCAACGCGCAGAAGGGCAAUCAAUCGGUGGCCACCUACUUCGCCGCCAUGAGGGGCCUCGCCGAUGAGCUCGUCGCGGCGGGCAAACCCAUUCAAGACGACGAGCUCAUGUCCUACAUCAUCCACGGGCUAGACCAAAACUACCAGCCCCUUGUCUCUGCCUUGGAUGCCCGCGUCACUCCGGUAACGCUUGAUGAACUUUUUGCCAUGCUUAGCAACUUUGAUCAGCGCAUGGCGCAGUACCACGGCUCCGGC